UACCAGCACCCCGAGUGGUCGGGACGAUUAUUGGGCCUAAAGCAUCCGUAGCCGGUCCUGCAAGUCUUCCGUUAAAUCCAGCUGCUCAACAGAUGGGCUGCGGGGGAUGACUACAUGGCUAGGAGGCGGGAGAGGCAAGCGGUACUUUAUGGGUAGGGGUAAAAUCCGUUGAUCCAUAGAAGACCACCAGUGGCGAAGGCGGCUUGCCAGAACGCGCUCGACGGUGAGGG
rnacentral:rRNA from 1 species